rnacentral:rRNA from 1 species
AUGGACUCAAUUCUUUCUAAUGGAACUUGGGAACUAACUGAUAGACCAUAUGGUUGUAAACCUGUGGGCUGUAAGUGGGUGUUCAAAAAGAAGCUAAAGCCUGAUGGUACUAUUGAUAAGUACAGGGCGCGGCUAGUGGCCAAGGGCUACACUCAGAAAGAAGGCGAAGAUUACUUUGACACCUAUUCACCCGUUGCUAGAAUGACCACCAUUCGAGUGUUACUUUCCUUGGCUGCCUCUUCUGGUCUUAUCAUUCAUCAAAUGGAUGUAAAGACAGCUUUUCUCAAUGGAGAGUUGGAAGAGGAGAUCUAUAUGGAUCAGCCUGACGGGUUUGUGGUAAAGGGUGAAGAGAGAAAGGUGUGCAAGUUGUUAAAAUCUUUGUAUGGUCUGAAACAGGCACCUAAGCAAUGGCAUGAGAAGUUUGAAAGAACUCUGACUUCUGCAGGAUUUGUCAUUAACGAUGCUGAUAGGUGUGUUUACUAUCGCCAUGGUGGGGGAUGA